AGAGGAUAGCCCGCUCACCCAGGCUUUUCAGAGCUACCCACGUGUCUCCCACCCCCAACUCUUGUUCCCCUAGCGAGGCUGCAAAUGGCAGAUCGUUUCUGGGGCCCGAACUCCCAGAAGUCUGACUCGAAGCAAGGGCUAUCAAACACCCGCUUGACUCGGACAGGCGGCACUGCUCGUUUGUCUGGGCCGCCGUUUCCCGGGCGACCACGCAAGUUCACGCCUCGCCUGCUGGGUGGGGAUGGCCGCGGUUGCCAUGACAGCUGGGAGUCCUGGGGUUGGACAGCCGGGGCGGCGGGACUACGUUUCCCUACAGCCCUCGCGAGGGCUCCGGCUCUCCGGCGGAGGCAUUGAUUCCUCAGUGCCGCGACGGCCCGUAGGAAGAGGGAAGAAGGCUUCGUGCUGCGUGCGAGGCGGGGACCAGGGCACCCGUGCGGGCCGCCCCCCAGCUGGACCCACCCAGGGAGUUCAGGAUGAUCUCAUCUCAAGAUCCUUAACUACAUGUGCAAAACUCCUUUCCCAGCUAAGGCUCCCUGAAGUUACCCAGAGCCACGUGAAUGAGUUCUGGCUAAUGGAAUGUGGACAGGAGUGAUGGAUAACUUAAAAUGGCCUACAUCAUCUUUUUCACUUGUUUCAUCAGUCAGCUGGACAGAGGAGAUUCAGCAGAAAAUCCUGAGAAGGACACAAAGAACAGCAGAGACCCAGGAUAGAAGGAGCUUGGGUACCUAAAUCAAGGACAAUCUUCUAGGAAGGUCACUUGACCCACUUGAGACUGUGACAUGAGCAAAAAGGAAGUCUGUAUUGUGUUGAGCCACUGAGAUCCUGGGAUUGUUUGUUAGUGUAGUCACUGUUAUGUGCUGUUAGUGAAUACAUCUUUUUAAAAAACUAAAAUCAUAGAGCGCCUGGCUGGCUCAGUCAGUAGAGCACGUGACUCUUGAUCUUGGGGUCAUGAAUUUAAGCCCUAAGUUGGGCAUGGAGCCUACUUAAGAAAAAAAGAACUAAAAUUGUGACUCUCAUGCAAGUAUAAAAUGAACAUGUGUCAAAGAUUUUGUUUCUUAAUAAGGUGUUACAACCACUUUUUUGAGGGUGGAAGAAGGGACCAUAAGCAAGGAAUACUAGGAAUGCAGUUUAAAUGUUGAAAAGGCAAGGAUAUGAAUUCUCCCCUAGAACCUCCAGAAAGAGGGUAGCCUUCCUGCCACUCCAAUUUCAGCUCAAUGAUACUGAUUUCAGACUUCAGGCACCCAGAACUAUGAAAGAAUACAUUUCCGGUAUUUUAAGCCAUCAGGUUUGUGGUCAUAUGUUAUAGCAGCCACAGGAAACUAAUACACUGUCCUUCAUUUCUGCUUCUCUGUGUGGGCUCCAUUCUCUUGACAGGUUCUCCCUUCAUGGAGACACGAAGGUUGCACCUGUACCUGCUGACAGGUAUUCAGGGUUUAAAGUUCCACAGGAAAUACAAGUCCUAAUAGUUCAGAAAGAAUCCCUGCCCCGUGAAACCCACAGGUCCAAGUAGGUCAUCUGUGGAUCCUGAGUCAAUCCUGAGGGCCAAGGGGAAUUGGAUGCUGUCUGCCUGAGUCAUGCAUUCACACUUGCCCAAACCCAAAUUGAGAGUGGGGGCAACUGAGAGACUUUUACACAGAAAAGAACGAUCCCAGCUCGGACGUGUUAUCGGACCCGCGCCCGCGGCUCCCACGGCCUGGCCUCGCAGGCGCGCUCUGGGACCACUGAGAGUAAGGUCUCCACGCCGCCCAGAGCAGCCCGGAAGUGGCUCGGCCAAGUGGGGUCGGGACGGAAGUGCGGUCGCCCGAGAGUCGGUGGGCUCUGCUCGCCCUUCCGUGAGCCACACCUCCUCCUGGCGCUCCUGGUUCCUGCUUCCGAGCCUUUGCAUGUGCCUUCUGCACGCCAGCAUCCAACCUCCACUCUCACUUGCCCGGUGUGAUCCAAGCCCAGCGCUUCCUGAGACCAAAACCCCCUUUGGACGUCUCCUGCUCAGUGUCCCUCCCCUUCUCCCACUUUGUAUUUUUUUCACUCAGUCCCCAGUAGGUGAGAGCCCGGGCAUUGGGGGUUGGGAGUAGACACAAAUAGUCACUUGUGACCCGUCGGAUGAGAGCCCAUUGGCGUGGGAGACGGGACCUUACUGGGGAGGUGGCCACAGACCAUGGUGAUUAGGCAUUCUGGGGGGAAAAGUGGAGAAAAAGGCUUUCAGGCGGAAAAAGAGCAAGCAAGGUGAGUAUGAGGAUUGUGGGAGGCUGGAGCAGUGAAGGCAAUCGGGAUGACCUUCAGGGAUUUGGAUACUAUCCCAAGAUGGGCAGACUCCCAGGCAGUUAGGCCCGGUUAGAGGGGAUGGAGGGCUGGGCAGCUCUGAAGCCUAAGUCCUGCCUGGAGGGAUAUCCCUGCCAGACUCUAUCCUCAGAAACAUGGGACUCCUGAAGCCAGGUCUUCUGGUCCUUCAAGAAACAAAAACGGACUUUUUUUUUUUUUUUUUUUUUUAAUUCUGAUGAUUAAAAAAAAGUUUUUUGACAUAAUUAUAAAUUCCCAUCUGUAAGAAAUAAUACAGAGAUCUUAUGUAGCUUUUACCCAGUUUUGUCCAAUGGUACCUUUUUGCAAAACUACAGUACAGUAUGAUAACCAUAUCAAAUAGAUAGUAAGGAUAAGGAAUAUUUCCAUCACCUGAUUCUUUAAGUUGCCCUUAUAGCCACACCUACUUCUCUCCUGCCUCCAUCCCCUCCUUAAGGCUUGGCUUUCUGUUUUCUAUUUCUACAAUUAUGUUAUUUCAAGAAUGUUAUAUACAUGAAAUCAUGUAACAGCCUUUUGAAAUUGGCUGAUGACUUUUUUUUGGAAAGUCUUUUUUUUGAAAGUUUACUUAUUUUUGAGAGAGAGAGCGAGAGAGAGCGAGAGCAUGAGCAGGGGGGAGGGACAGAGAGAGAGGGAGAGAGAGAAUCCCAAACAAGCUCCAUGCUGCCAGCACAGAGCCUGACACAGGCCUUGAUCCCACAAACCGUGAGAUCAUGACCUGAGCCAAAAUCAAGAGUUGGAUGCUCAACCAACUGAGCCACACAGGUGCCCUUUGGCUGAUGACUUUCUAAAAAAAUUAACACUUUUAAUACGUACAGUUGUUGUUUUUUAGUAUAUUCACAUUUUUGUGUAAUCAUCACCAUGAUCUAAUUCCAGGACAUUUUUAUCACCCUAAAAGAAAUUUCAUACCCAAUUAAUCAAAUUAUCCAUUCCUUCCUUCCCAGAUCCUGGCAGUCACUAAUCUACUUUCUGUUUC